GACGAACGCUGGCGGCGUGCUUAACACAUGCAAGUCGAACGCGCCUGUCCUCUGGGUUUCUGGGGGGUGGGUGAGUGGCGAACGGGUGAGUAACACGUGAGUAACCUGCCCCCUUCUUCGGGAUAACGGUCUGAAAGGGCUGCUAAUACCGGGUAUUCACUGGUCUCCGCAUGGGGUCUGGUGGAAAGGUUUUUUUCUGGUGGGGGAUGGGCUCGCGGCCUAUCAGCUUGUUGGUGGGGUGAUGGCCCACCAAGGCUUUGACGGGUAGCCGGCCUGGGAGGGUGACCGGUCACAUUGGGACUGAGAUACGGCCCAGACUCCUACGGGAGGCAGCAGUGGGGAAUAUUGCACAAUGGGCGCAAGCAUGAUGCAGCGACGCCGCGUGAGGGAUGGAGGCCUUCGGGUUGUGAACCUCUUUCGCCCGUGGUCAAGCCGCGACGUGGGUCGUGGUGAGGGUAGUGGGUAAAGAAGCGCCGGCUAACUACGUG
rnacentral:rRNA from 1 species